rnacentral:lncRNA from 1 species
CGCAGAUGUCAGGUGUCCUGUAGCCAUGGGUUACAUGGCUGGUGCUCAGUUUUUGGCUGGAGACCUGUUUGUUACAAAGCAGGGACCUGCUCUCUGGUACAAAGACAGUGUCUCACUAUGUAAUCCAGGCUGGCCUUGAACUUGUGGUGAUCCUCCUGCCUCAGCCUCUCAAGUUCUAGGAUUAUAGGUGUGCUCCACCACACCUGGUCCAAGUUGAGUUUUAUCCCAGGAAUAAAAGGAUGAUUUUACA